UUAUCGGUUUGAGAGAAGCAAGCUACAAGAUUCAGCUGAAAGAAAAGGAUAACUUAUACAAAAAACUAAUGGGAUCAUCGGAAGAAAGGCAAGAGAUCCAUCAAAAUCAUCCCCUGAAUGCAUCGGCGUGGAAAUUGACGCGGCUCGAUCUGACACAAUACAGGUAACUUCACAACCCGGCUGUGACAAUCAGACAUCUAGCAGCAUUGACAAACCCUGAGAUAAGUCUCGUACAUUAUCACCGUUCUGUCGAUAGUAAACACUGAUAGCGAGCCCCCUUGAAUGGUUCAUUAUGGAAGGCACUGAUGGUAUCGUGGUGUUGAUAAUGUAAUGAUCAUUGCUAAUUAAAUUGGAUGUGCCUGGCUCAAACAAGCCCUCUUUUUCUGCUCCAGACAACCCUCGGUAUCUCCACGGUGAAUCUCUCUGUGAGAACGCCGAGAUAAAGCCUGCCGCAUGUCAUUAACGACCUGCGAUGCGGAUCUAGCGGGAUUAAGCGGCACUGUUUCUGUCUUCUUCAGGAAGCGUUGAAUAUCACCUGCUAUGAUAAGAUUCACAGUCUGGGAUUCUAAUGACGUGUGGGAGGCUUGUUUUGUACAUUAAUGGUUACACAGGUGUGAAGAACUCAUGGGAUUGGUUUAGGGCUCAUCUCUGAUACACAUCUUCACCAAUUUUGCCACGGCGCUGAUUCCCCAAGCUAUCAUUUUCUUUCGCUCCUUUGAUGUGGAGAGACCCCUAAUCAACUGCUCAAGCAGCUCAUCUGCAAGCUUUGAAAGGUGUUUCAAGCAUUCAGCCAGAUUGGCUUAAAACAGACACUGGUCAGGCAGUCAGCUGGAACUUACAUACAGCCAACCGUUGCACUUUCUACUCGUAUAUAAGCAAGGGGGCGGCAAGCAAUUGACCUACCAAGGAUAAUAGCCUUUCUAAGGCUCUUUCUUGUACAUCCAGGGACCAAGCUCUUUGCGCUGAUCCAUGGUUGUAGCACCUCUCAUCCAUCACAAACCCUCAAAGAAAAACAGCUUCAAGUCUUCUCUAUCCAUCUUUUGAAAUAUGA